UCCUCAGUAGCACUGGCCACAUUUCAAGUGGUCACCAUAUUGCACAGUGCAGAGAUAGGAUAUUUCCAAUUUCCAUCAUCCCAAACAGUUCUGUGGGACAGCAUUGUGAGGAAGAACAGAUCCUCCCCAGGUAAGGACCAUAGAGAGGUAUUCCAAUGCCAGGGAGCAACUUGUGCAAAGGCCUAGAAGUGAAAUGCAGUGAGGCCGGAGGAUGGGAGUCCCAAGUGCCAACGUGAGGAGGGGAGUGGUGGUAUUGGAGCUACGGAGGAGCGCAGAACGCAAACGGCAGCUGAAGCCGGUGUACGUGUCUAGGAGCUGGGAUUUUGUCCUGAACAUUUAGGAAGCCUUUGGAGAGUUUUCAGAGGGAGUAGCAAGGUCAGCUUUUCACAGUGGAAUGGACUGGAGGGGAGCAAGUCUGGAAGCCAGAAACCCUUGGGGAGGGAGCAGCUGCCAGCAUCCAGGUGGGGAGAAGAGCUGGCCUGGGAGUUGAACUGGGAGGACCUGGAUUUGGGUUGGCUGUGGGGCCCCAGGGAGAGGGGCUUCUGGCUUGAGUGACAGGGUAGCUGGUGCUGCCCUUGGUAGGGAGCAGCGGGAACCUGGGGGAGGAGGUCGGGUUGGGCUGUGCUGAGUGUAAGGACCCCGAGCCUGGCAGGUAGGUGGGGUGCUUGGUCCCCUGGGGAGAGUUGGAGCUGGAAAUGCUGAGGGGAUAGCCGUCAGCAAAUAGAGGUGGGUGCCCUUCCUGCAAGGGCUGAGGUCCCAGGAGAGUCCUCAGAAGACAGAAUUGGAGCCCUGGGAACCCAGCUGAGUUAGUGGCCAAAGAGAAGGAGCCAGAGGGCCAGAGAAGCGUGAGGGAGGCCAGAUGUCCCUCCAGAGGUGCACAUGUGGUUGUGGCUCCCUCUCCGGGGGUGGGGGCUGAAGCUGCCAGUCUAGGCAGGGUUCCUGGAGAAGAUGGGACAGUACCUGGGCACUGAGGAGACCUGGCUUAGAGAGGAAGGGAACUCAGGACAGCAGGGACACCCUGGGACUUCUAAGGUUGGGUUACAAAAUGCAGGGCAGUUUCCACUGUAUCUGCUGGGACACUCACUCUUGGAGCUCUGAGCUAACCUGUCAGCAGUCUUCCCAGGACCAAGGCCACAGUGCUAUGGCCUGAGGCCACCCAGGGCAGUGAAUGGGCCCUGCGUGGAUAUUCCGCCCAACAGUCCCGGCCUAUGCCCAGCCCAGUCAGCAGUGAUUGCCAGACACGUGAGUAAUGAACCUCUGGAUUAUUCCAGACCCUAGAGGUUUUCACCCCCAGCCACUGAGGGCCCAGACAUCAUGGAGCAAGGGACAAGCUGUUCCUUCUCUUGCCUGUCGGAAUGCCUGACCUACAGAACCCAUAAGCAUAAUAAAAUGGUCAUUGUUUUACACAAUCACAUCUUGGGGAGGUUUGUUGUGCAAUGAUAGUAAUAACAGGAACAGACAAGAAGCAAACAGGCGAGGCUGUGGGCGUGUGGCAGGGACACGGAGAGACGACUGGACUGGAUACUGGGGGGAGGGCGAGCUUUAUCCUGCAGCCAGCAGGUUAGGGAGAGGAGAUGGGGUGGGCUGAGCAGGGCGGAUGCUCUGGAAGUGGGGUUUUGGAAUCUAGACAUAAAUGUCAGAGAUGGUUCUGACCUGGGAGAUGACCCCAAGGGUGGCUUCAGAAAGGUCCUGGUGGGAGCAACAGCAAGAAGGCUUUGGUGUCUUACCGUUUUGUGUUACAAUUUCCCUAAUCAGCUCUCUCUGGGCCUCAGUUGGCUAAUCUGGAAAAAGGGAGUACACAGUCCUCCCUGGCACAGGGUAAAUGCAACCUAAAUGGGGCCGCCCUUCCUUUUAUCACCUUUUUUUUCCUCUCUUAUUUCUUACUGUCUUAACAAGAGAUGCUCACAUGCGUAUAGACUCAAUCGUUGAUAAACACAUUCAAGGGCAAGGUUAUUUGCCCUAUUUUAUAAACACAGAAAAUGAAAUGCAGAGGGGCUGGGAAUAUCCCAAAGCCUCAGAGGUCUGGAGGCUUCAGCGUGUAUUUCUCUGUAACUUUCCUCCCCUGGAUAGAAGCAGGGAGGAGUGGAGGGCAGGCUGAUGCCCCAGCAGGUCCCAGAGGGCCUGGGCAAGGCUGCCAGCUUUGGAUUAAGCAUUCCUCCCCAGCCCUGCUCCAGCCCCAGCCUUGGCAACUACUUGAACUCUGGAGUCCCAGACAAAUUGUAGCCCCAAGAGUGAAAGCAACUGUGGGGAGCUUACAAAUGUGGGAGGCUCAGCUCUCCCCUCCCCUGCUUCCUCUCCUAAAGGCUGCCUCUGGGUAGGUCAGGGCAGAGCAGCCACUGAGGAACUUCCACCGGGGCCUCCAUACACACCAGGGCCUCCUGGGGUCCUUGCUAUCCGGAGCCCUGAGAGCCCUGAGAGCCCUGGAUAUGCCACCUGGACCCCAGCUCCCCUCCUCCUGCAGCCCUCCUCAGCAUCUGGUGCCUUCUCCGAAUGCCUUGCUGUUGCUCCUAGCAACCAAGCACCCAGCCCCAUCCUGCUCUUCCUUCCUCCUCCCUCCCUUCUUUUCCUCUUCCUCCUCCUUCUGCUUCCUCAUUCCCAUCCUUCCUGCUUCCCCCCACCUGUAGAGAUGGUGCUGGAAGGCUCCCCUCCAACCCCGAGCCAGCUGGGCAACCCAGCCAAGCCCCCUGGCCUUUCUGGGUUGCUAAUCAGCCAAUGAUCACAGUCUGUACUUUCUGCCUGCCUGAGGGAGUGGGUACUGCAACUCCAGGACCCAGACCAUGUUCCUGGGAAGACUGUCAGGCCGGGCUCUCAGUGCACCCCAGGCACAAAGCCGAUGACUAUAGAGAAGAGAGUAGACUUAACAGUUAAAGGGAAUUUCUCCUUCUCAGUGCUGUUUGAGGUAGUGAGCUUCCCAGAGUUGGAGGCAUCCAAGAAGAGGCAUUUCCUGUGCUGGUAUGGUGCAGGGCAGUGAGCCCUCACUUGGACGGGCUUGAGAAGGAAGUCAGGGAGGGCUCACCCAUGUUUUCCCCCACUCUCCUUUUUAUCCUCAUUUCCUUUCCCCCAACCCCUGACUUGCCAGAACCCUUUAGUGACUCAGCCACUCCCUGGCCCCUGCCCUCCCAGAAACUCCGCCUUUCUCAGCAGGACCCCAGAGAGGGCAGAUGGCACUAAGGUGGGGUUUCCCAGGCAGGUCAUCCACCCACAGGGCAAGCCCCAGGCUCAGCACAGCUGCUUCAGAGGGGACACCCCAGGGGCCCCAUGGAGCCGGGCGGUAUGCACCCAACCCCCCACCCCCCACCAUGGCCCUAAACACCCAGCCUCCCCGCCAGCCUCCUCAGAUCAACAUCCAUGGCCAACCUGAGGCCCAGGCCCCUCAUCACCUCCCUGGGGUCGCAUCCCGCUGCUGCCCGCGUAACCCAUGCUCCAGCCAUACCAAACUCACCAUGUACUUGGCCUGUUCUUACUCUUCUCUCCCUGCCUGGAAAGGCUCUUCUCUGCCCUUUGACUCUGCUCAGAGGUCACCUCCCUCAGGAAGCCUGCCCUGACAGCCCCUCCACUCUGCCUCUGCUGGGGUACCCAGCCCUCUGCUUGCUGCCUUACAGCUCCUUCUCCCACUGAGUGCCCACUACCUGUUCCCGCUUUGUCUUUCUCAUUGGGCCUCAGUUUCCCUCUUCUCCGAUGUGAGAGGGACAGGCCCAGGGUCUUUGAGGAUCCUCUGGCUGCUGAGGGCGACUAAGCCUGGGCUGUUAGAUAGCCAAAGAGGACAGCCUGCGUCAGCUUUGCCCGCCUCACCCUCCACCCCAUCCCCUCUGAGUUUCAGGACCUGGGUGUGACUCACUCACUGUCCGGCCCUCGCUCAGUCCUUCUCCGAGGCCUCAGUGCCUCAUCUGCUAAAUGGGAAGAAUAACUGCUGACACCUGCCUCUUCAGGCCCCGUGAAUCCUGAGGCUGGCAGACCAAACAUCUCUGACAGCAUCAGCCAUAACCCAGGCUGACACAGGGAACAGCUCUGGCUUGGCCGCCGCCCCCUUCCGGACAGCCCAGGCCUUGGGCUCAGGGGUCCCUGGGGCUCUGCUGCCCUCCAGUGGCUGGAGGCCCCUGGGCACUUAGAACCGGUGAGCUUCUGGCUAAUUCAUCUGGCAUCUGACUCAACCUAAGACAGAGGGAGACGCCAAGGCCCAGAGGUGGAAGGGACCUGUUGUUGUUGGAGGUCAAGCAGCAAGUCGGGGGCAGUUUCUGGACCAGAACCUGGACCUCCUGGCUCCCAGCACUUCCAAGCCCAGGGCGGGUCUGUUCCUCUUGCAUCAGACUGACAGAAGAGGGAGCCGCUACCUCACCUGCCCAAACUGCCUCACCCGGGGCGCAGUGGGGGGGACCCCAAGUGUGGUUGGCUCCACCCUGCCAGUCUCUCUGAAAAGGGUUCGUCCUGCCGACCCAGGGGUCAUCCCCAACUGGGGCUGGGGGUGGCCUGUAACCGCUGGGAGGGGUGCCUUAACCCCCUCCCUCUUGAUUAAUCAAAUACUUAAAAUAAUGGCCUCAGUCAUGAUUGAUGGACAGAGCAUAGCUAAUUACCCUGGAGAUUAAAAUGACUGUUUCUGUUUAAAAAGGCUGCAAAUGAGUUAAUUAUUUCCUUUGCUCACCUCUCUAACCUCGUUACACUUCUAAAUGAAUAGCAAUAUUGAUCUUGGAACUGAUUUUGGUGUUACACCGCCCGAGCGGGUUUAAUUAGGGUUUGAAAAUGCUGCAGUGCCUCCUCCUUCUGACCGAGGAAAUUAGCCUUGGGUUUUACUUACAUUUCACAGCCGUGUCCUCACAGACAGAAGGGCUGGAACACCGGACAGUGAUGCCUGAUGCCCGCCAGCCCCUGUCCUGCCCUGGCUCCCAGCACCCUCCCACCCAGAGCAGCACUAACCAUCUCCUGCCUGUCGCCUCUCAGGAAGAUGUGGCAGCAAGGUCAUUGGAGUCAGCUAGUUUAGCCUCUUCUGGUCACACUUGGGGGCUUGGGGGUUCAGACAUGAGAAGGAAGGGCCUGGCAUCACUUAGUGAGGUGGGGGCACGUCUGGGACCAGAAACUCUCACGAAUUCCCAGCUCUAGACCUUGAUGGCUCCCUGGCUAAAUAAAUACAUCUUCUCUAGAUCCCUAAAGAGCCCCCGUUUUCAGCUCUCCUAGGACCACAUGGAACAAAGGCUGCCAGCAGGAAUGAAGGUCGGAAACACAGGAGGAGCAGGGGCAGGGGACCAGGAGCCCUACCCUGGUUGAUUAUGAUAUGUUGCUACAGGCAAGACAGCCAGGGGGCUGUGGGACAAAAGCAGCACUGCAUUCAAGCCAUGGGGACAGUAGGAGCCCAGCGUUCAUAGCUGAUCUGCCCAGGGAAAUCUAGGGGCCAGGUCAUGUGCCCGACCUGAUCAGCAAGGAAGGGAUGUAGAUUUGAGAAUGAGAGACUCCUGACUGAACCUGACCCCAGUCCCAGACGAGUCCUGCUCAUACACCGAGUCCUGACCCUUCUCACACAUGGAGCCCCGAACCUGGAAACAUACUGUGCCCCCACCUUGGUCACACAUGGAACUCCGACCCUGGUCAUGUGGAGCCCAAACCUGAUCAGACUCAGAGCCCUGACCCUGGGCACAUGUGGAGACACCACCUUGGUCACACUAAGAGCUUUGAACCUGGAGUCCAGACUUGGGCACACACAGAGGCCUGACUCCGCACACCCUGAGCCCUUACUUACCCUGGUCAGACAUUGAGCCCUGACUCUCCUCACAGAUGGAGCCCUGACCUCCUCCUGCACUGAGCCUCAACUCUGCUGCGACACUGAACCCUAACCUCCUCACACGGAGCCCCCACCCUGGUCACACAUGGAGCCCCUGCCCUGGAGCCCUGACCCAGUAACAAACAGAGCCCCUGGUCUCCUCACACACGGAGCCCUGAUCCUCUUCACAAAUGACGUCCCAACCUUCUUCACACACAGACCCCUGACCCUCCUCACACAUGGAGCCCCGGCCUUCUCAAAUCUGAAGCCUUGACUCUCCUCACACAUGGAGCCCCAAGCCGCCUCACAUGGAGACCCCACCCUGGUCACACGUGGAUCCUGGACCCUGGUCACAGAUGGAGCCCUGACCCUCCACGCAUGGAGCCCCCA
rnacentral:lncRNA from 1 species